rnacentral:rRNA from 1 species
CGCAAGCCUGACGGAGCAAUACCGCGUGCGGGAGGACAGUCCAUCGGAUUGUAAACCGCUUUUCUCUGGGAAGAUGAUGACGGUACCAGAGGAAUCAGCAUCGGCUAACUCCGUGCCAGCAGCCGCGGUAAGACGGAGGAUGCAAGCGUUAUCCGGAAUGAUUGGGCGUAAAGCGUCCGCAGGUGGCUAGCCAAGUCCGCUGUCAAAGCGUGAGGCUUAACCUCAUACAGGCAGUGGAAACUGGAUAGCUAGAGGGUGGUAGGGGUAGAGGGAAUUCCCAGUGUAGCGGUGAAAUGCGUAGAUAUUGGGAAGAACACCAGUGGCGAAAGCGCUCUACUGGGCCAUACCUGACACUGAGGGACGAAAGCUAGGGGAGCG